UACGUAGGGUGCGAGCGUUAAUCGGAAUUACUGGGCGUAAAGCGUGCGCAGGCGGUUUUGUAAGCCAGGUGUGAAAUCCCCGGGCUCAACCUGGGAAUUGCAUUUGAGACUGCGUAGCUAGGGUGCGGAAGAGGGAAGCGGAAUUUCCGGUGUAGCGGUGAAAUGCGUAGAUAUCGGAAGGAACACCAGUGGCGAAAGCGGCUUCCUGGUCCAGCACCGACGUUCAGGCACGAAAGCGUGGGGAGCAAACAGG
rnacentral:rRNA from 1 species